CUCCACAGCCAAGGCACACAGUCCGCGCUCCGUCGACUCCCCACACGCAGCAUCGGUGGGUGGGGAGGACAGACGUGAUGGAGAUCCAUGCUGUAGAAGAAAAGAAUAUUUAUUGACACUUAAAACUUACAAAAUGUGCCAUCACAAAUUUAGGUAUAAUGAGGCACAGAUGAGAGAAUGAUUAGCUAUCAAAGCUAAAACCUAAGUUUAUAUGCUUUAUCAGUGUAUAUGGUGGGGUGUACAACACAGUCUGGAAAACAUCUAUUAAAUCUAGAGGGUUUGGCAUUCUCACUUCUUGGCACACGGUCUUUCAUUCUCUAAUCUGGAUUAUUUCCAAGACUGCUCUUUGACAAUACUCCCAUGUAGCAUCCUAGCAGUAACUCUACAAACUGCCAGUCAUUUGUGAAUUGCUUCUACCUUCCAGAGUAGGUUGCUUUUCUUUUUUAAACAAACCUUUACAUCAGUUAAAAAUACAUCCUUUUUUUUUUAGUGGCAGCAGUAUACCAGUGAAUAUUUGUUAUAAGCAGGGUAUAAUUUUACUUA